CACUGGAACUGAGACACGGUCCAGACUCCUACGGGAGGCAGCAGUGAGGAAUAUUGGUCAAUGGCCGGAAGGCUGAACCAGCCAUGCCGCGUGAAGGUCAGUGCCCUAUGGGCGUUAAACUUCUUUUGUGCGGGAGCAAUAAGGGCCACGCGUGGCCUGACGAGAGUACCGUACGAAUAAGCAUCGGCUAACUCCGUGCCAGCAGCCGCGGUAAUACGGGGGAUGCAAGCGUUAUCCGGAUUUAUUGGGUUUAAAGGGUGCGUAGGCUGUGAGGUAAGUCAGCGGUGAAAUGCCCCCGCUCAACGGGGUGAAGUGCCAUUGAUACUGCCUUGCUGGAAUGCGGAUGCCGUGGGAGGAAUGUGUGGUGUAGCGGUGAAAUGCAUAGAUAUCACACAGAACACCGAUUGCGAAGGCAUCUCACGAAUCCGCGAUUGACGCUGAUGCACGAAAGCGUGGGUAUCAAACAGGAUUAGAUACCCUGGUAGUCCACGCUGUAAACGAUGAUGACUAACCGUCGGCGAUACACAGUCG
rnacentral:rRNA from 1 species